AUUGAACGCUGGCGGCAGGCCUAACACAUGCAAGUCGAGCGAGCGGCGGACGAGUGCGUAAUGUAUGGGGACUGCCCGAUAGAGGGGGAUAACUACUGGAAACGGUAGCUAAUACCGCAUACUAUCGGAUAACCCAUAUGGGAUUAGCUAGUAGGUGAGGUAAUGGCUCACCUAGGCGACGAUCCCUAGCUGGUCUGAGAGGAUGAACAGCCACACUGGGACUGCGACACGGCCCAGACGCCUACGGAGGCAGCAUGGGGGAAUAUUGCACAAUGGGCGCAAGCCUGAUGCAGCCAUGCCGCGUGUAUGAAGAAGGCCCUAGGGUUGUAAAGUACUUUCAGGCGGGAGGCGUUACCUACAGAAGAAGCACCGGCUAACUCCGUGCCAGCCGCCGCGGUAAUAC
rnacentral:rRNA from 1 species